UAUAUUUUACAAAUAGCCUUAGCCAUGGGGAAAAAAUGAAAAACGCAAGCUUACCUCUGAAGUAAUACUGUUUGUAAUAAAGCCCGUAUUCUGUGAGGCCUCUCUCGUCGUUUCGACCAAGUUUGGAGGAAGGAAAUAUUAUCAAUUUAUAUACGACCCGAGAUGUAGUUCUGUUGGGAAUUUGUGCCUGCACUUAUUUGAAGAUGCAUUUUCCAGCAAUCCUUGAACAGAGAACGGGGUUUCGUGGUUUCUUUUGG